AUUUUUGCUUCAAUUGCUUUAAAACAUCAAUUUUUUGCCUUUGUUUGCAAGGAAAUGCCACAAGCACAUUGUCAAAAGUGCAGGAAUACAUGUAGGUACAUGGAUACUGGAAUGUACUUUGUAUCACCAAUGUCUCUGGUGAAUGUUUGAAUGAGUGGGAGGAGUCAUUGGAGUAAAACUAGCAAAUGAGAAUUUCUUCAAACACAAGGUAAGAGAAGGUAGGGGAAGCCAUCUGAGUUAGACAUUAAAAGUCUUAAGGAAUAAAUCAAGAAUUAGCUGGUGUUUUGAAGUGUACCAAUAAAAAUAUUGACAGCAUAAAAUGGUUUGCAAAAGAGUGCAAACUAGAGAAGGAAAAGCAGGUUGAUGUUGAGAUUUUGAAAAAUGACCUGGAUUUCAUUACAGCAAAAGAAAAACAUGAUUACAAUUAGACAUAGAACUGUGACCAAAGUUUGUAUAUAAGAAUUUUCAGCAAAGGUGGUGAAUGAAAAUCCCAUUAGCUUUUAGUUAAGUUAAUGGAAAAUGAUGGGAGGUAGACUGGCUGCAAAAAGUCCCAGUUCAGUGGUCAUGGAGCAGUAAGUACAGAUUAAAUUGUAAUGAAAAGCACAUGACAUUCUGCAAAAAAGGGGGAAUCUGGUGCAAAAUGUAGCAUGACACACAGAAAUUGUAAUCAAGCAAUCAUUUGAAAUAAUCAAAGUGGAUGCUGUUGAGCUAUAUGCAUGUACACUUCAUGUUUUCCAUGUUGUUUGCCUUUACAGCCACCUAAGAAGAAGCACAAAGCUCCUGUGGCAAACCAUGCCAUUUUGGAUGAAAUGCAGACGAGACAAUCUCAUAAACAGGAGGAGGCACCUGCACAUCAUGAACCAGCUUGCAGGUGUGCCAAGUAUGACAGCCUUCGAGCAAAGUAUAGAGAGUUGAAAGCUGAGAGGACAGGGCUGUCAGCAAAGGUGGCUGAGCUGUCUAAAUUCAAAGACUGUUGUGGACAAACUGAAGGCAGUGUAGUAAUGCUACUUUGGCUUCAGAGAAAAAUGACGGGGACUCAUCCUUCUCUGACUCUACUCCAGUCAAGAAGCCAAGCAGUAAAAGCAAGGUUCACAUUGGGCAUGGUGUCCUCUUGGACAAGGGUCAACUACUGACCAUUUUGCAGGGUAGCGACACUGUGACAAAGUUGGCCAGGGACCCGUUUGCUGCCCUCUUCAUCAGUAGGGAUGAGGUGAUAGGCAAGAGCUUGACAGGGAAGAGGAGCAAUGCCCAUAAGGACAAGGACCCAAAGAAAGCUCUUGACCCUGCAAGAGUGAAAGCUCUUCUCGGUACG